rnacentral:rRNA from 1 species
UGGGGAAUCUUGCACAAUGGGCGAAAGCCUGAUGCAGCAACGCCGCGUGCGGGAAGACAGCCCUAGGGUUGUAAACCGCUUUCAGCAGGGAAGAAACUGACGGUACCUGCAGAAGAAGAUGCGGCCAACUACGUGCCAGCAGCCGCGGUGACACGUAGGCAUCAAGCGUUAUCCGGAUUUAUUGGGCGUAAAGAGCUCGUAGGCGGUUCGGUAAGUCGGGUGUGAAAACUCUGGGCUCAACCCAGAGAGGCCACUCGAUACUGCUGUGACUAGAGUGCGGUAGGGGAGCGGGGAAUUCCUGGUGUAGCGGUGAAAUGCGCAGAUAUCAGGAGGAACACCAGUGGCGAAGGCGCCGCUCUGGGCCGUAACUGACGCUGAGGAGCGAAAGCAUGGGUA